rnacentral:rRNA from 1 species
UGGGGAAUAUUGCGCAAUGGGCGAAAGCCUGACGCAGCGACGCCGCGUGAGGGAUGAAGGUUUUCGGAUCGUAAACCUCUGUCAGAAGGGAAGAAACCGCACUGUGCUAAUCAGCAGUGCCUUGACGGUACCUUCAAAGGAAGCACCGGCUAACUCCGUGCCAGCAGCCGCGGUAAUACGGAGGGUGCAAGCGUUAAUCGGAAUUACUGGGCGUAAAGCGCACGUAGGCUGCUUUGUAAGUCAGGGGUGAAAUCCCACGGCUCAACCGUGGAAGUGCCUUUGAUACUGCUUAGCUUGAAUCCGGGAGAGGGUGGCGGAAUUCCAGGUGUAGGGGUGAAAUCCGUAGAUAUCUGGAGGAACAUCAGUGGCGAAGGCGGCCACCUGGACCGGUAUUGACGCUGAGGUGCGAAAGCGUGGGGAGCAAACAGG